UACGGGGGGGGCAAGCGUUGUUCGGAAUUACUGGGCGUAAAGGGCUCGUAGGCGGCCAACUAAGUCGGAUGUGAAAUCCCCAGGCUUAACCUGGGAAUUGCAUCCGAUACUGAAUGGCUUGAAUCCGGGAGAGGGAUGCGGAAUUCCAGGUGUAGCGGUGAAAUGCGUAGAUAUCUGGAGGAACACCGGUGGCGAAGGCGGCAUCCUGGACCGGCAUUGACGCUGAGGAGCGAAAGCCAGGGGAGCAAACGGG
rnacentral:rRNA from 1 species